AUAGUUUGAUGCUGGCUCAGAAUGAACGCUGGCGGCAUGGAUUAGGCAUGCAAGUUGAACGGUAACAGAGGUGCUUGCACCUGCUGACGAGUAGCGGAAGGGUGAGAAACCCGUGAGCAACCUGCCUUAAAGUCGGGGAUAGCCCUUGGAAACGAGGAUUAAUACCGGAUGUGGUUAUUAGAUCGCAUGGUCUUUUAACUAAAAUCUUUUUGCUUUAAGAUGGGCUCGCGUAUCAUCAGCUAGUUGGUAAGGUAACGGCUCACCAAGGCUUUGACGAUUAGGUGGUCUGAGAGGACGAUCACCCACACUGGGACUGAGACACUGCCCAGACUCCUACGGGAGGCUGCAGUCGAGAAUCUUCCGCAAUGCGCGAAAGCGUGACGGAGCGAUGCCGCGUGCAGGAUGACGGCCUUCGGGUUGUAAACUGCUGUCACUCGGGACGAAUUUUGACGGUACCGAGAGAGGAAGCCACGGCUAACUACGUGCCAGCAGCCGCGGUAAUACGUAGGUGGCAAGCGUUAUUCGGAUUUAUUGGGCGUAAAGGGUUCGUAGGCGGUCAAGUAAGUUUGAAGUGAAAUCUCUAGGCUCAACCUAGAAACUGCUUUGGAUACUGCUCGACUAGAGUACUGGAGAGGUGAGCGGAAUUCCUGGUGUAGCGGUGGAAUGCGUAGAUAUCAGGAGGAACACCGACGGCGAAGGCAGCUUACUGGACAGUAACUGACGCUGAGGAACGAAAGCUAGGGUAGCAAACAGGAUUAGAUACCCUGGUAGUCCCAGCUGUAAACGUUGUAUACUAGAUGUGAGCGGAUUGGUCCCGUUCG
rnacentral:rRNA from 1 species